CCUACGGGCGGCUGCAGUGGGGAAUAUUGGACAAUGGGCGAAAGCCUGAUCCAGCCAUGCCGCGUGUGUGAAGAAGGCCUUCGGGUUGUAAAGCACUUUCAGUGGGGAAGAAAGCCUUGGGGCUAAUACCCUCGAGGAAGGACAUCACCCACAGAAGAAGCACCGGCUAACUCCGUGCCAGCAGCCGCGGUAAUACGGAGGGUGCGAGCGUUAAUCGGAAUUACUGGGCGUAAAGCGCGCGUAGGCGGUCUGAUAAGCCGGUUGUGAAAGCCCCGGGCUCAACCUGGGAACGGCAUCCGGGACUGUCAGGCUAGAGUGCAGGAGAGGAAGGUAGAAUUCCCGGUGUAGCGGUGAAAUGCGUAGAGAUCGGGAGGAAUACCAGUGGCGAAGGCGGCCUUCUGGACUGACACUGACGCUGAGGUGCGAAAGCGUGGGUAGCAAACAGGAUUAGAUACCCUAGUAGUC
rnacentral:rRNA from 1 species